UGUUAAAGUAGAUAGUGUUUGAUGACUAAGUUAGCUGCCUAAUAAAGUGAUCAAACUGAGAGUGUUUCAAUUGAGAAGCUUGGCUCUGACUUUUGAAUAUGGCUUAUAUAAAAACAUACACAUGGUUUCAGUUGAGAGUGGUAAGGAUAAAAAUAGAUAAUGUUAGUUUAAUAGAAGAUUUAUGUUUUAUUAUUAUUUUUAGUAUUAUAGGUUUGUAUAAUGCUUUGAAAAGUCCUACUAACACCAGUGCUGAAGGUUAAUUUAUAAGUGAAAGUUUGAAUUAAUUAAGUAUAAAAGGUCUGGUUAAUUUGGUGCCAGCAUCCGCGGUUAGACCAAAAGACUAGGUCAUAUUAGAUAGGUUAAAAGAUAGUUAAGUAGAAUGAAGAGCUUAAUGACUUUUUAUAAGAAGGUAAAAUUUGAAUAUAAAUAAAGUAGUUUAUUUAAAGCUAAAAUGCUGAAGCUAUGAUAAUUUUGAGGGAAACUGGGAUUAGAUACCCCACUAUUCAUAAUUGUAAAUGGAUAAGAAAAAUUUACCAGAGUACUAUGAAUGUUUAAAAUUUAAAACUCAAAGGGCUUGGCGGUGUUUUAGACCAAUUAGGGGAACCUGUCUCAUAAUCGACAAUCCACGUAAUAUCUAACCUUUUUUAGUAGAUCAGUUUGUAUACCGUCGUCGUCAGGUAACUUUUUAAAAUUUAGAAGUUAGCAAUGAUAAUAUUUGUUGAUUAAAACGUCAGAUCAAGGUGCAGCCUAUAAAAAGGAGAGGAUGGGUUACAAUUAUAAAAUUAUAAUUACGGACAGUUUAAUGGAAAAAGCUUUAAGGAGGACUUAAAAGUAAUGUUGUAAUAUAUAGAUAAUUUGAAUUGGGCUCUGAAACGUGCACACAUCGCCCGUCGCUCUCGUUGAAAAACGAGAUAAGUCGUAACAUAGCAGUGGUAAUGGAAAUUGCCUCUUGAUG
rnacentral:rRNA from 1 species